ACGAACGCUGGCGGCGUGCUUAACACAUGCAAGUCGAGUGCGCAGUUCUCUGUAGCAAUACAGGGGAUGGGCGCACGGCGCACGGGUGCGUAACACGUGGGCAAUCUGCCCUCGGAUGGGGGAUAACUCGUCGAAAGGCGAGCUAAUACCGCAUGACAUUCCGAAGACUCCGGUCUUUGGACUCAAAGGCCGCAAGGCCGUCUGAGGAGGAGCCCGCGCCCGAUUAGCUAGUUGGUGAGGUAACGGCUCACCAAGGCUUUGAUCG
rnacentral:rRNA from 1 species